CCGAUAGUGAACCAGUACCGUGAGGGAAAGGCGAAAAGAACCCCGGCGAGGGGAGUGAAAAAGAACCUGAAACCGUGUACGUACAAGCAGUGGGAGCACAGAGCAAUCUGUGUGACUGCGUACCUUUUGUAUAAUGGGUCAGCGACUUAUAUUCUGUAGCAAGGUUAACUGAAUAGGGGAGCCGAAGGGAAACCGAGUCUUAACUGGGCGUUAAGUUGCAGGGUAUAGACCCGAAACCCGGUGAUCUAGCCAUGGGCAGGUUGAAGGUUGGGUAACACUAACUGGAGGACCGAACCGACUAAUGUUGAAAAAUUAGCGGAUGACUUGUGGCUGGGGGUGAAAGGCCAAUCAAACCGGGAGAUAGCUGGUUCUCCCCGAAAGCUAUUUAGGUAGCGCCUCGUGAAUUCAUCUCCGGGGGUAGAGCACUGUUUCGGCAAGGGGGUCAUCCCGACUUACCAACCCGAUGCAAACUGCGAAUACCGGAGAAUGUUAUCACGGGAGACACACGGCGGGUGCUAACGUCCGUCGUGAAGAGGGAAACAACCCAGACCGCCAGCUAAGGUCCCAAAGUCAUGGUUAAGUGGGAAACGAUGUGGGAAGGCCCAGACAGCCAGGAUGUUGGCUUAGAAGCAGCCAUCAUUUAAAGAAAGCGUAAUAGCUCACUGGUCGAGUCGGCCUGCGCGGAAGAUGUAACGGGGCUAAACCAUGCACCGAAGCUGCGGCAGCGACACUGUGUGUUGUUGGGUAGGGGAGCGU
rnacentral:rRNA from 1 species